GACGAACCGUGCGAACGUUGUUCGGAAUCACUGGGCUUAAAGGGCGCGUAGGCGGCUCGCGAGGUCGGGGGUGAAAUCCCACGGCUCAACCGUGGAAGGGCCUCCGAUACCGGCGGGCUGGAGGGAGGUAGGGGUGCGCGGAACUUCUGGUGGAGCGGUGAAAUGCGUUGAUAUCAGAAGGAACGCCGGCGGCGAAAGCGGCGCACUGGACCUCUACUGACGCUGAGGCGCGAAAGCCAGGGGAGCAAACGGG
rnacentral:rRNA from 1 species